rnacentral:tmRNA from 1 species
GGGGAUGUAUUUAUUUGCUGACCUGCUUCAAACUUAAGAUAGCUAGAGGUAGUUGAUGAAACUACCUAAAAAAAUCAUCACCUUGGAUAAAUGCCAAGAACUUUAUGGCUAGCUUGAAGAACGCUUUCAGCUUUCCUUCAACUUUAGCCACCGUCGCAGUUUAAAACCUGCGGCCAUCCGUUUUGGCAACGCCCGAUAGCCAACAACGGGUGUCAUAUUAUCGGGCUAGAAAAUCGGGUCGCUUUAGCCCGGUUUUCAAAACCAUUUAAAGCUUGGACCGAUUGAUUUUGUUCUUUUAAACGGUUGGUCUGAAAUUUAAAAAGAACUAUUCUAGUAGAAGUUUUAAUUUGAACCGGUUACACGCGGGCGCAAUACCCGCCAUCUCCACCA